UUUGGGAAUAGGAACUGCAAGAAGUAGUUUUGACUUUCGAGAUAGCGGCUGGAUAUAGGCCAAAUGCUGUCCAAGCCUUCAAUGUAUGGUGAAGAAGCAGUGCCCCUGGGCUCUCGUCGCCUGUCUGUGGAGGAAAAGUGAGGAUUUUCGGGGUCCAGUCCCUGGGAGUGCAAAUCCCUCUCCGAACAUGACGGGGUGGAGAUGCUCUCUCCCCGGGGGACCAGCGCUCCUCGCCCGCGGCCCUACCUGCACUGGCACUAAUGUAUUCAAACCUGUGUGCGGCGUCUUAAUAACAUGUCGUGCGUGUGCUUAGUGACAAGAUUACCUCAUCAGUGCCCGCCAGUGAGGGAACCGCGCCCGCCUGUCUCUCAUAGCCGGGGCGUUCAACAUGUCUCCCUUCUCAGCGGCGAGCUUCCUUGAUUUACGGAAAUUGUAAUACAUCCAGUAGUUCAAACAAAUCCACCACGCCUCCUUUUCACCUCCUCGAACCUGCUUCCUGG